AACGCACCUUGCGCUCUCUGGUAUUCCGGAGAGCAUGCCUGUUUGAGUGUCAUGAACUCUUCAACCCACCGGUUCCUUGUUGAACCGAGUUGGUGUUUGGAUUUUGAGCUUUGCUAUUCAUUUAGCUAGCUCGUAAUAUAUUAGCAUCUUUCAAUUUCAUAAUCGGAUUGACUCAGCGUAAUAGACUAUUCGCUGAGGACACUUUUACUAGUGGCCGGUAAUGGAGAUAGAGAAGCUUCCAACUCUUCUAGUCAACUUUAGAUUAGACCUCAAAUCAGGCAGGAUUACCCGCUGAACUUAA
rnacentral:misc_RNA from 3 species